rnacentral:rRNA from 1 species
UACGUAGGGGGCAAGCGUUGUCCGGAAUCAUUGGGCGUAAAGCGCGUGUAGGCGGCUCGAUAAGUCUGCUGUGAAAGUCCAGGGCUCAACCCUGGGAUGCCGGUGGAUACUGUCGAGCUCGAGUCCGGAAGAGGAGUGUGGAAUUCCUGGUGUAGCGGUGAAAUGCGCAGAUAUCAGGAGGAACACCGGUGGCGAAGGCGGAUCUCUGGGCCUUACCUGACGCUCAGGUGCGAAAGCUAGGGGAGCGAACAGG